GCUCAUGGUCUGAGCAGGAGAGAGAACAGGAACGAUGCAGAGAAGAUUAGCUUGGCCACUGCGCAAAGGUAACAUGCAAAUUCUUGAAGCGUUCCAUAUUUUU